rnacentral:misc_RNA from 1 species
GAAAUGCGAUAAGUAAUGUGAAUUGCAGAAUUCAGUGAAUCAUCGAAUCUUUGAACGCACAUUGCGCCCCCUGGUAUUCCGGGGGGCAUGCCUGUUCGAGCGUCAUUUCACCACUCAAGCCUCGCUUGGUAUUGGGCGACGCGGUCCGCCGCGCGCCUCAAAUCGACCGGCUGGGUCUUUCGUCCCCUCAGCGUUGUGGAAACUAUUCGCUAAAGGGUGCCGCGGGAGGCCACGCCGUAAAACAACCCCAUUUCUAAGGUUGACCUCGGAUCAGGCAGGGAUACCCGCUGAACUUAAGC